rnacentral:tRNA from 1 species
GGUCUUUUGGUGUAAAGCAUAUGGAAUUGCAAGUUCUAAGGAGUAUAAAGUAUAAGACUU